CAUGAACGUAACGUACAUGCGUGCGCGCGCGAAAUCCGAAUGUGCGGUCUCGGUGUUCGUGAUAACGGAAUAUUCCGAAGAGUAGCCGCGUAUAAUGAAGAGCGUUUUGUGGUGCUACCGGCUAACCUCAAGUCACGCAGCAUAUCGACACGAACGGCAUAAUUACGGAGCAUUUUCGAGAAGGCAUUACCGCCGCGACGAAAUAUCGUACAAGCAAGUAACGCGAGUGCCACACAGUCGUUAUUCAUAAAACACAAGGAAUUUGCGCGUGUGCAUUUUUCGGCUUCUAUAAGAACAGACAUACAUAACCGCUGGCAAUAAACAACCGAGGACAAGAUAAAAAAGAAUUUAACACAAAAAAUCGCGGAUGCACGAAUCGCAGAGAAGGUCAGGGACGCGUUUCACUGGGGGAGAAACCGAUAAGUGGGAUAGCGAUCCCAGCAACCGACUGUCGUCUUAUCAUUCGGUCUCAGCUGUUCGCCCCACGCAGUGCAUCCCGAUUCUCGGAAGGACCUCGUAAAAAUAUCAUACAGGAUGCAAGCCGCCCGCUACAGCGACCUGCUAUGCGCCGGCACAAGGACUCGCAUUUCGGUCCUUCAUCUCUGGGAUGCACAUGUUACACGAUUUAUGGAAACACAAAUCAAAACAUUUCGCGUUUGAUGCAUCUACAUUUCUCUACUACAGAGCAGCGGCCCCGCCGUGAACGGAAUUACUCGGGAAUUCUAUCGACAAAUCCCGCGACCAUCUCCCGUUGGCUGGCGCAGACAUUAUCAUCACAUUAACCGUACUACAGAGAGAAAGGAAGAGGAAGAGAGAGAGAGAGAGAAGAAGAGCUGGUCCAGCCCGGUCCCAGACAAUCCAGCGACGAUUCCUGUCCUACUGACGCUGCUUUCGGAAAGAUGAGAAGGAGAAAGAGGAAAAAAGCGGAGAAAGAGAGACAGAGGGAGAGAUGGAGACUCGAUGGGUACAAAGACCCACCAGACGGUAGUACUCGUUUCUUUCUGUUGCCUUUCAUCCUUCCCGGCACUUCCUUCCCACCGUCUACUCUCUACCUCCUUCUUCUCCUCUUUCUUUCUCUCCUUCUCUACCUUCUUUUUCUUCUUUCCUUUCAUCGCGCACGGCACUUCCAUCGCUCGAAUCGGAAUUCCGUUCGCGAUCAUCGACUUAUCCACGAAAUCAAGUACAUGGUUCCAGGGACGUGAG